rnacentral:rRNA from 1 species
AUUGAACGCUGGCGGCAUGCCUUACACAUGCAAGUCGAACGGCAGCACGGGUGCUUGCACCUGGUGGCGAGUGGCGAACGAGUGAGUAAUACAUCGGAACGUACCUUAUCGUGGGGGAUAACGCAACGAAAGCUGUGCUAAUACCGCAUACGCCCUGAGGGGGAAAGCGGGGGAUCGCAAGACCUCGCGCGAUUAGAGCGGCCGAUGCCUGAUUAGCUUGUUGGUGGGGUAAAAGCCCACCAAGGCGACGAUCAGUAGCUGGUCUGAGAGGACGAUCAGCCACACUGGGACUGAGACACGGCCCAGACUCCUACGGGAGGCAGCAGUGGGGAAUUUUGGACAAUGGGGGCAACCCUGAUCCAGCAAUGCCGCGUGAGUGAAGAAGGCCUUCGGGUUGUAAAGCUCUUUUGUCAGGGAAGAAACACCGGCUCUAACACAGUCCGGGAAUGACGGUACCUGAAGAAUAAGCACCGGCUAACUACGUGCCAGCAGCCGCGGUAA